AGGAUAAACGCUGGCGGCGUGCCUUAUGCAUGCAAGUCGAACGAGGUUAGAAUUUCGGUUCGAAGCCUAGUGGCGCACGGGUGAGUAACACGUACGUGACCUGUCCCGACGUGGGGGAUAACCAGCCGAAAGGUUGGCUAAUACCGCAUGUGGACGCCCCUUGGAAGGGGCUGUCAAAAGUAGCAAUACGCGUUGGGAGGGGCGUGCGGCCGAUUAGCUAGUUGGUGUGGUAACGGCACACCAAGGCGAUGAUCGGUAGCUGGU
rnacentral:rRNA from 1 species